rnacentral:rRNA from 1 species
CCAGCUCCAGUAGCGUAUAUUAACAUUGUUGCAGUUAAAAAGCUCGUAGUUGGAUUUCUGGUAUGAUGGGCUUAAGCUGCUCCGGUUUCGGACGUAUGUCUUUUGUUUAUCUGCCAUCCUUGUAGAAACUCUCACCUUAACCAGUGGGACUAUCUACAUCUUUUACUUUGAAAAAAUUAGAGUGUUUAAAGCAGGCAUUGUGCCUAAAUACAUUAGCAUGGAAUAAUAAUAUAGGACUUUUGUUCUAUUUUGUUGGUUUCUAGGACGAAAGUAAUGAUUGAUAGGGAUAGUUGGGGGUGCUAGUAUUCAGCGGCCAGAGGUGAAAUUCUUGGAUUCGCUGAAGACUAACUUAUGCGAAAGCAUUCACCAAGGAUGUCUUCU